UACGUAGGGUGCAAGCGUUGUCCGGAAUUAUUGGGCGUAAAGAGCUCGUAGGCGGUCUGUUGCGUCGACGGUGAAAACCCUCAGCUCAACUGGGGGCCUGCCGUCGAUACGGGCAGACUUGAGUGCGGUAGGGGAGACCGGAAUUCCUGGUGUAGCGGUGAAAUGCGCAGAUAUCAGGAGGAACACCGGUGGCGAAGGCGGGUCUCUGGGCCUUACCUGACGCUGAGGAGCGAAAGCGUGGGGAGCGAACAGG
rnacentral:rRNA from 1 species